CUUUCUCUAAGGAGAAGGGCUGGCAAUUGCAAGUGCACUGAUAGACAUUUCACAACAGAAGCCCUCAGAGUGUAAAGAUAAGAGUUUGGGAGUCAGAAAUCGAAAGCAUCACCUUUCAACCCGUCAAGGGACUUGCGUCUGAGAUAACAAGAAUGCAUUUGUAUAUUCUGUAAUGUUUUAUUCUUCUCCCCCCAACCUUUUUUUUUUUAAGAGCUUCCAUUGAAAGCUAAAAUACAGCCUCAGUUUUUAUGGAGGCAAUCUCUGGAUGGUGGCAAAGAUGAUGGUAAGAAGUAUCAAGCUUAGAUGAAUUAACAUGUCUUCUUCCCACUGAGCCCCCAAAAUGUGGUGUCCUAAUGGGCAAUGUGAAUAUAUUGGCUGAACUUUAAGAAAAUAUUCUAGUAUCAGUACUAAUAUAAAAAAAUAUUUCUCCAUGAUUCUUAUUAUCCCUACCAGGAAAAAAAGGAAAAGUAUAAAUUGCUUUAUAACGGGGAAGGAAAUAUAUAUUUGAAAAUUUAAAUAUUUCUGAAGGACUCAUUACAUAGGUAGAAGUAAUGGGUUACUCAGUUUUUCAGUUUGAUCAGCAUUCAGAUACCUUCAGUUAAAUAAAGCAGGAACUGACAUUGUUAGGGAUAUAAAUAUUAUUAUCACUCCCCAGGUAUGACAGUAGAACUCAAGCUAGGUGUUAGACUAAUACAACAAAAAUGUAUUUCAGUGAAGCAAAUAUAACAAGAACAAAAUACAUAUAUUUCAAUAAGUAGAAAGUUGGAUACAUGCUUAUCAAACAUACCUUUCAACAGCAGGAUAAAGUAUAAGAAUUCAGAAUGUGGAAUGCAGCAGAAAGAACAUUCCUGUCUUCCAUAGCAAACCAACUCAUUGUAAGGGCUGUCUGAGUGUGGAAAAGCCUAUCCAGCGGCAAAGUAUCAACCACCAUUCCAUUUUUUUCCCCUUGCCCCAGCCAUGUUGAAAAUUGAAAGACUCGGGAGGGCAGAGUUGAAAAACGUUAUAUUCCUACAUAGAACUGCCUUGAAUUCUGCAUUAAUGUAAUACUGAUGGCCAAUGAAAUCCAUGGAUUUAAAGCCAGUUGCAGAUUUUAGCCUUCAUAUCCAAUGGGAAAAUCAUUGCCAUGAUCACUACAAAGUAAUGUUGCUCUGGCUAUAUUCUCCCCUUUAUUGCAGCUAUUAAAAAUCCUCUCUCUAUUAGAAGCAAAUAUAUAUUCUUCUCCCUUUAAAAUAAUCUUUAAAAGCAUACAUUAAACUAUCCAAUGGCCUAGUAACAGUUUUCUUGUUGAGGGCUGUUGGAAUGGCAUUUUGGUACAGAACAUUACCAAAUUGCUGUAUACCAAUCAAAAGCUAGAAGAAAACAAUUUUCUAGCUUACCAAUUUCCACUACUACUUUAUUAAAAGCCACCUCAUAAGCCAUGGGAGAGCAAAAUGGUACCUGUAGGCAUCAGAGCAUACAUGUUUUCCUAUAGUAUCCACAGAAUCCGAACAUUAAAUUAAAUUAAAAAAAAUAAUUAUUAAAAUCACAUGUCUAAAUAUUGUAGUAUUACCAAAACUCAACAUUUUUGGUUAUUUCAAACUUGUGAAACUUGGAGUGAGAAUGCCAAAAUCUUAUAAGAUGUGGCAGAGUCUCAAUAUUUUGGCCGUAUGAUCUCACUAGGGUUCACCUGCAGUACCUCAUGAACCAUCGGUGCUCCCUAGACCAUAAUCUGAGAACCACUUAUCUAGUUAUUUGAAAGGGAAUAAUAAUUAUAAAAUACUUUCACUGCUUCAUAAUUGCUGCUUAAUUGUAAAUCCACUUUAUAUUUUCAGCAGCCAUUCUUUUGUUGAUGAAAGGCCUUAUGAUUUAAUUAGGGAGAUCUGAUUUUUGCCAUUUUCCUGUGUCUCCUUCUGCCCGCCCUCCCAACAUCCCCCACCCUUGCUACAAUACAGUUCUCCAAACAUAAGGAGGACUCACAUCACAUUUAAUGAGAAAAGGUCUUUCAGAGGUGGGCAAGAGAUUAAUUGUUUUGACAACAUUAUUCUUUAGGCUUCCUGGUCUUAAAUCUAGAAAACAUGAAAUGCAUUUAAAUAAUAGAAAUACUAUUAUUUCUAUUAUUUCUAUUUCUAUAAGUACUUAAUUUGUUUACUUAACCUUAUACAUUGCAGUGUACAUUAAAUGUACAAUUUUAGUUGAAGGUGAUAUGUACUCAAAACUGGUAAUGGCAGAUUACAUGUUCCAGUGGACUUGUUAAAAUCCCGGGGAAGAGCAGAACAGCAGUUCUUAGUCUGCAGAGCUGCUAUUGUGGUAAUUAUGCACAGAGGUAUAAACUCUUACCAGUGGUGGAGUUGUGUUAAUUAAAAAAGGCAUACAAAUAUAAUUGGUGUUUAUAUUAUAUUUUCAUUUUCUUCCAGGAAGGGGAAAGAUUUAACUGUUUACAGUUUGACUACAUAGUUCCUUGCAUGUCAAGAUGGUGCAGUAGCAGUAAUAAAGGCCUGUUUGUGACUUGAUGGUGUUUCUCUUUGAAAAUAAUUUGACUACUUAAUUUGGAUGAGGAGUGAUUGUUAUGAAAAAAGAUAGAAAUCCAUUAAAUUGAACUGUUGUACAGUAUGUAGUUCUCUCUCAUCCAAGAUCAUUAGGUUACAUUUUAUCAUGAUUGCUCUACUGUUUUUGAUUCAUUGCACAGUGAUAAAUUAUGCUGGCAUGAUUGUUGGAAUAUUUUCAUUCUCAAAAGGAGACUGAUUCUUAUUCUAAAGUUAUGUUGUCAAGGUAUGAUGAUUUUGUUUUAAAUUCAAUUUCUUAUUCUAAAACAAAGGGUUACAGUUCUACAGGCAUUUUGUGUUAAGUCUAUUCGAUAUCCUUAUUUACAUAUAAAUACUUCCAGAAUUAGGGAGAGGGAGGGCUAUUGCUAUCAGAAAAAAAUCAGUUAAUGAACUUUUGUAGCUCUGAUAAGGCUCUUGUUUUGUUUGGUUUGGUUUUUAAAAAACCUAUUAUGCUAAUAUUGAUUUGGUAAAAGAAAAAAAUGUCAUUAGAAUGGGCAUGUAUGAUGAGUAAGGGGAUUAUUCAGGGAAUAACAAACGAGAAAUAAAA